UACGAAGGGGGCUAGCGUUACUCGGAAUUACUGGGCGUAAAGCGUGCGUAGGUGGUGAGUUAAGUCUGUCGUGAAAGCCCCGGGCUCAACCUGGGAAUGGCGAUGGAUACUGGCUCGCUAGAGUGCGGUAGAGGAGAGUGGAAUUCCCGGUGUAGCAGUGAAAUGCGUAGAGAUCGGGAGGAACAUCAGUUGCGAAGGCGGCUCUCUGGACCAGCACUGACACUGAGGCACGAAAGCGUGGGAGCAAACAGG
rnacentral:rRNA from 1 species